GACGAACGCUGGCGGCGUGCCUAAUACAUGCAAGUUGAGCGCUGAAGGUUGGUACUUGUACCAACUGGAUGAGCAGCGAACGGGUGAGUAACGCGUGGGGAAUCUGCCUUUGAGCGGGGGACAACAUUUGGAAACGAAUGCUAAUACCGCAUAAAAACUUUAAACACAAGGUUUAAGUUUGAAAGAUGCAAUUGCAUCACUCAAAGAUGAUCCCGCGUUGUAUUAGCUAGUUGGUGAGGUAAAGGCUCACCAAGGCGAUGAUACAUAGCCGACCUGAGAGGGUGUUCGGCCACCUUGGGACUGGGACACGGCCCAAACUCCUUCGGGAGGCAGCAGUAGGGAAUCUUCGGCAAUGGACGGAAGUCUGACCGAGCAACGCCGCGUGAGUGGAGAAGGUUUUCGGAUCGUCAAACUCUGUUGGUAGAGAAGAACGUUGGUGAGAGUGGAAAGCUCAUCAAGUGACGGUAACUACACAGAAAGGGACGGCUAACUACGUG
rnacentral:rRNA from 1 species